rnacentral:lncRNA from 10 species
ACCCUCUCGCCCCUCCUUGCGCGCCCGCGGCCCGGCGCACCGCCCGCACCUUACCCGCCGGCUCUGGCGUCUCCAGCUGCCCGGUACCUGCCCGGAAGCCACGACGUGGGAGCCCCGGAGGCGAGCUCGCGGCGAAGCAGCCCCACUGCGCCGCCCUCUGUGGACAGAAUUGUGGUUGCCGAGUAGCACAGAGCGAGGGAGACUUUACUACCCGUUAUAAAGAGAAGUGCAGGUGAUGCACCGGGCCUCAUGGCCUGAGCAGCCUGUUCUUGCAGAUGUGGGCCCACGUGCAGAUGCAUACGUCAUUCAUUCAUUUCUACAGGUGUUUAUGGAGCGCUUAAGGCGUGCCCAACACUUGGGGACUACAGCUGUGUAGACUGUUCUGGGUCCUCAAACACCUAACAACCCUCAAAAAUGAUCACAGCGCACACCUUGAUAGUGCUGUAUAAUGUACACAACCCAGCCAUUACCUCAAUUCAUCCUAACAGUCCUAUGAGGACUCUUGGGAACUCAUUAUUGAACCUUAAGCCACUAUGUAAGAAGCCUAGCUUCCAUGGUGGAGUGAAUAUGAGGCCACAUGGAAAGGGAGAGGUCCAACUGAGCCCAUCCUUCUAGCUGUCCAGGCCAAGACUGUGGAAGUAAAGCUAUCUUGGAAUCUACAAACCUGCCUACCCACCAGCUGAAUAACCGAGUAUCCCCAGCUGACACUAAAUGGAGCAGAAGAACCACCCAGCCAAGCCCUACCUGAAUCACAGACUCACAGAAUUAAGAAGUAUUUAUAAAAUGGUUGUUGCUUCAAGCCACUAAGUUUUAGGGCAGUCUGUGAUGAAGCAAUGGAUGGUGUAAAAUUCCCACAAGGGACUCUUCUGAUGGUGGGUGUCAGCUUCUAUUCAGAAGCUGACCACUUCCUCUGCCAUUGUCACAGUGGGAGCAAGUCUGCAGUGCUAGGCCAGGGUCUACAAAGUGAUUGAGUCAUGCUUUUUGAGAAGUGAGAUCAGUUAUACUGGCUAAAAAGGGACUAAAAAGAGUUUUGGGGGUGAUGACUUUAUGGCUCCAUGACUAAUUCCCAACCACUCAAUAAUAGGUCCAAGGCAUGUGCCACUGGGAUAGGUUUUACACACUUCCCCCAAGCCUCUGGUUUAGGGUGGGGAUGGGAGAUAGCUAGAAACAAAAGCAGCUCUGUCUGACAUCGUGUGGUUGGUGAUCACUUCCAUGGAUCCACACGGUGCUCCCUGGCCCACUUCAUCUUUACUUUAAAGAGUCUUUUCCAAUCCUUAGUUCUUAUUGGCGUUAAACAUACCUAUGAUCAGAAAGAAUUUGAAAAUGGCACUGUAGAGUUUCUGGUAGGCAGGAGGGCAAGUCCCAAAGUGUCAAUUCAAUGUGGAGCCUACGAACUCCAAUACAAGGGAGGCUUUCUACAAACUUAAAAGAUCUUCUACCCAAGUCUCUUAGCCUCCCUCUUCAUUAAAGAUUUUGUGUUUUCCCCCCUCUCCAGCUCUAGUUUCAUUUUGUGAAAAGGUUCACUGCCUUAUGUGCCAUGAGCAGACAGGCUUAUCGAAUGAACUGUAAAUCUAAUCAGUUUGCCACAGGGGUUUCAUGGGAGCCAUGUAAACAAUAGCUGGAGUUGUGUUAAGCUUCAGUGACUCCAACUGAUUCCCAGUUUGGUUCAUUUGUGAAGAACAGUUGGAGAUACAAAGCCAAGCCCAUUAAUUUCUAAAGAGCAAUUCUAAGAGAGGAAUGAGCUGUCGAUCCCCAGAAGGUUUUCACUCCAAGCUCUAACUACAGGAUUUUAUUUAUGGCAUAACGUUUGUCUUCCAGUUACUGUUUCCUUCCAUUUCUCCAAUAUUCUGUAUUUCUAAGGAGAUCCUGGCAACUCUUAUUGAAAUUGGAAUCCUGUGGAGGAAUUGAGCAGAGAACUUCUCCAAGUUCCUAUGGUCUCUAAAAUAGUGAUCAAAGUAUGGUCUUGGAUCCCCCACCUGUGUUCUCUUUAAAAUGUAAUUGUGCCCUAUGUUACUUCUGACAAACGGACUUAAUUAGUUUCAGUUCUAGUUCUCAUUCAAUACUUUUACAGAAACACAUUUUUGAUUUGAAUUUCACUCUCAAGACUAUAAAGUUUAUAUAGUUAUACUGCUGAAGUCACACCAGUUUUUAAUCUCCUAAAUUCACACAUACUUAGUUUCCAGAUGGAAAAAUGAAUAUUCACCACAGCUCUAUUAGGAAUGCCAAUUUCCCAUCAGUCCCUAGCAUUGGGCAAUGCAGUUAUAAUACUGUGUUAAUUUCAGACAUCUUCUGGUCCUCCGAGCCUUGUAUUUACAUACUAGCUGAAACUGCAAGUGGAAAUGAAUGGAGCUGAUGAUAUUUGCCUUAUCCUAAUUUUUCUGUGAGGAGGAGAAAAACACUUGUGCUUCAAAUAAGCAGAUGUGAAAACACUUCUCACUAAUCAAAAUGUUUACCACUAGGUUAUGAGAGUCUGCCUCUCAUAGGCAGUGAAUCUGAUAUGUAUACUUAGUAAUAUAAGUCUAUUUAGUUUGACAAAACCUUAGAGCAGAAUUUUUGCAGCUUAGUUCAGGAUGAUCACUAGCAAUGCCAAACUUCAUUUUUUAUUGAACUUGGAUCCAAGAAGGCCUGCUGUGUCUAUUUCAGUAUAGACUCUCAUACCAAUAUAUUUAUGCUCCAAGUCACUACACCCAGAAGUGAUGCAGUGGGGGAAAUGCAAAGAACAACAUCACUGUAAGAUUCACAGAAUGAUCUUUGUAAAAUAUUUUAUAUUGACUUAAGGAAACUUUCAUUGGAAUUAAUUAAAUUAAGUCUCUAAUAUUCUGGAAGACAGUAAAAAUCAAGCAGUUGUUCUCAAUUUGAUCCCGGCAGUUGGAAAUAUUCAUAAUAGGAAAUUCAUGAAAUAAUACAUAUGAAGAUGACAGAAAAUUACCAAUGUGAUUCUGUAAAGAGCUUGGCAUAGCAACUUGUCUAAUUUCUUUCUAUAAUAAAAUUAUGGCCACAUAGACUGAUAGAAAGCGACUAGGAAAUCCAUCUGUAUUUUCGCAUGUUCUCGCUCAUAUGUGGAAGCUAAAAAAGAGUUGAUCUCAUAGAAGUAAAAAGCAGAACAGAGGUGACUGAAGGCUCGGAAAAGUAGGGGGAAGGCAGCCAUAGGGAGAGAUUUUUAAAGGAUACAAAAUUACAGCUAGAUAGGAGGAAUAAAUGCUGGUGUUCUGUAUCAGUGUAGGAUGUCUACAAUCAAUAACAUAUAGAUUCAAACAGCUAGAAAGAGGAUAUUAAAUGUUCCCAAAGCAAAGAAGUGAUGUCUGACAUGAUGAAUAUGGCAAUUACCCUAUACCAUGAUACAUUAUAUGUAUUGAAACAUGUCUGUUAUAUGUACAAUUAUUGUCAAUUUAAAAAAAUAAAAUUUUAAAAAUGGCUUAAUAAAAAGACCACUGUGAUUGUAAAAUUCACAGAACUCCGCCUGAAACUAGCUUAAGCUAUAUAGUUGGUAUUCAACAAAAGGUUAUGGAAUUAAUUGUGACAAUGUAACUAUUCUGUGGAGUAUUUACCUUGUAGUAGAUACUGUUCAAAACAUCUUAGGUUGAUUAAUUCUUUAAAUCCUCACAAUAGCCUGUCUCACAAAUACUCUUAGCGGUGCCAUUUUAUAUACAAGAAAAGUGAAGAGCAGCGGGGUCACAAAAGCCCCCCCACACCAUACAGCUCAGAAGUGUUGAAGCCAGGACUUGAUCCCAGGCAGGCUGGCUCCAGAGCCUGUGCAAGCAACCCCCACUCCCAACCGCUUCCCAGAACCUGGGACUCUAUAGGUUACCCAUCAAGAAAAAGUAUACUCUUUGACUUUAUUUUGGUAUGAGUUACAGUUUUGGCUUAUGGAUUGAACCCAAAAGGUAGCAGUGUUCAAUGGGACAGUAUCCACCUGGGAUAUUCAGAAGAAACUCCCAUGGGGUUCAUUUUUACAAUCAAUCUUAUUUAAUAUCAGUAUUUAUUAGGUGGAUAAAAAGCAUUAGAAUAUAUGCCCCCAAUUUUUAUAUGACAAUAAAUUUAGUAGAAUUGUUAAUAUUCUGGGAGAUAAUGAAAAUUCCCUCUCAGAAAGUGGGGAGAAUAGUUCUAUGAAAACUAUUCGGUUCACUUAAGAUGUACCAGAUAUUUAUCAAUCACAAUGCCUGAUCAGUUGCUCCCAGCUGCAUGUUCUUUGAAUGACAAUUUCACAUGCCCAGCAUGAAGAGGGACAUAGGUGAACACCUGACCCAACGUGCUGGGUCACUCUUGAGCCUCAGUCACUCCACAGGCUGGAAUGAAAAAAAUGAGCUGGUCCUAUCAAAUCCUCACUCUUGGGAAUUUGCUUUGGAAGACAGAAUGACCCAGUUGGCAACCAGAACUUAAGUUGGAAAGUUACGAUGUGGGGAAAGGAGAAGAGAGAUCAUUGUGGCCAAGUGCAUGUGCAAGCCAAGGCCACAGAGAACAGGAGCUUUGAGGGAGCAGAGCAAGGUGGUCACUUUAGAGAGAUGAAUGAGAUAGAAAUGCGGAAUGAAAGAGAAUAGGGGAACGGGAGGAGACACACAUGAAUGAACAUGAGAGGCCAGACAGUGGCCCUGUGCCAAGCUGCCAAGAUUUCUGGUGGUGCUUGGUUCCAUUGUAGUCCACAAGGACCCUUACAACAAGCCCCAUGGCCUUAGAUAACUCAAGAGGGUCUUUGUUCCUUGUGAAGAGAAAAACCUGAUGCAAAAAGUAGAUGAAUAAAAAUGGUUAACUUUUGGGCAGAAUCCUCCCACCCAAAAAUAAGUUGAGGAAAUAUUAAUGUGGAAAAAGAAAAAUGACCUAAAAUUAAGAAUAAUCUACCUAUGUGGAAGCAUUGUUUUAAAAAACCAAUAUAAUGUUGGCCUAUAUGAAAAUGAAUGCAUUAUAUAAAUCAUGGAUUUCAAAGAGCUAGGGGUUUUGUUUUUGCUCUUUUAAAAUCAGAUCUUACAUAGCACACCAUCUCAUCUUAGUCAUCCUUUUAAGAAAAGACAUACGGCUUCUGACAAGGGUUCCAAUAAUAAUCAAAAUUAUUAAGGUAUGACUUAUAAGUAAAGCCACAGGGAGUUUGUGCUAUGUGGUCUAGAGAGAAGAAAGCUAGUGGUGAUUUCUUUUUUAUCUUUAAGAGUAUUGGCUGAGGUGUGAGGAUUGCUUGAGCCCAGGUGUUCAAGACCAGCCUGAGCAACACAGUGAGACCUUGUCUCUACAAAACAUAAAAACAAAAAAAUUAGCUGGGCAUGGUGGCACUUCCCUGUAGUCCCAACUACUUGGGAGGCUGAGGUGGGAGGAAGGAUUGCUUGAGCUGGCGAGGUCAAGGCUGCAGUGAGCCAAGAUUAUGCCCCUGCACUCCAGCCGGGGCAACAGAGCAAGACUCUGUCUCUUUAUAAAAAAACAAAAACAAAAACAAAGAAUAUGGAAGAAGCUGAGCAUGGUAUCUCACAUCGGUAAUCCCAGCACUUUGGGAGGUCAAGGCAGGAGGAUCACUGAGCUCAGGAGUUCAAGACCAGCCUGGACAACAUAGUAAGACUCUGUCUCUACAAAAUAAAUAAUAAACAAACAAACAAACAAACUGGGUGUGGUGGCAUGCUCCUGUAGCCCCAGCUACUCAGGAGGCUGAGGUGGGAGGGUUGCUUGAGCCUGGGAAGUUGAGGCAGCAGUGACCCAUGAUCAUACCAUUAAACUCCAGCUUGGGCAAGAUCCUCUCUCUCUCAAAAAACAAAAUACAAAAAACAAAAUAUAUAUAUAUAUGUAUACACACACAUAUAUAUACAUAUGUAUGUGUGUAUAUAUAUGCAUACACCCACAUAUAUACAUAUGUAUACACACAUACACGUGUGUAUACACACGUGUGUGUAUACGUGUGUAUACACACGUCUGUGUAUAUAUGUAUACACAUAUGUCUGUGUAUAUGUAUACACAUGUCUAUAUAUGUAUACACAUGUCUGUAUAUAUGUAUACACGUCUGUAUAUAUGUAUACACAUACGUGUAUACAUAUGUAUGUGUAUGCAUACACACGUGUAUAUGUGCGUGUGCAUACACACGUAUGUGUGUGUGUAUAUGGUUUUAAUCACUGAUCACAAUUAUCUCUUUUAUUCAUAGAAGUAAGACUGAGCUUUGCUCAAAGCUUUUCUGUCAAAUAUGAGGGGGAAUCUGUUGACAGCCUGCAAAAGAAGACCCAGAACUUCUUAGUCCUGGAGAUAGACAUCCAGGAAAGAAUUUAGAAACACCUGGGAGUCUUGGAUGGUUGGCAGAUAGGGCUCAGUUGGGUUUUUUUGUCUUUGGAUCUGAGCUGCAGAUAGGAAAAUACACGACAUCCAUCCAUGAGUGCCAUGGGAAGUCAUGAGUCAGAUAAGAAGGAAGAACUGGAGAUUAGAAAAAACAAGGAGAAAGAAAAAAGCAAAGAAGGGAAGGCUGUCAGAGGAGGUGUUCAAGUUAGCGUUCACUUUCAGGAUGAUGUCUGAAGGCCACUCUGACCUCUCUUAUUUUGUACAAUGUAGUAUGUAACAGGCUGUUCAUCAUCAAAUCACAUCCAUGCUUGCAAGUGACUCAAGUUGAGCCUGACAUAUAGAGUGACCAGGAGUUUGGGCACUUCAUGUGCAGUUUCCCUUCCCCACUCUCCACAAGACCUCCUUGGGACAGAUUCCAUACCUGAGGGAAUCAGGUCAAGACCGAGUGAGUCAUCAGCUUACUUCAGGAACCCACCUGCUGGCUCCAGAGUGGCCCCGUCAGAGCAGGAAUGGCUUGGCCAGAAGAACAUCACUGAGGGUGCCACCCUCUACCAACUCAGCCCCUGAGCUAGGAGUAAUUUAAAGGAAAAUGGGUGACAUGGCCCUUAUUUCUAAGGUGCUGCGCUAAUGAAGAGAAACUUGAAGGCAGACUUGUCUCCAUGUGGGAGCAUGGAGUACAAGAUCUUAAUCCCAAAUACAUACUUGUUUCAUGAGAAACCCUGAGCCCUCCAUGUCUCUUGGUCCUCCCUCUCCCAUACUUAUAAAGCAGGUUGGGCUGACUUUUCUUUGACUGACAUGUCAUACACAUAUAACAUACAACAUAGACCUAUAUGACUACAUAUAUGACAAUGACCGAGUUGCUAUGUUUACUUGAAGUUGGGCUUUUUAAAAAACAACGAGGUUGGGCAUGGUGGCUUAUGCUUAUAAUCCCAGUACUUUGGGAGUCUAAGGCAGGAGGACUGCUUGAGACCAGGAGUUUGAGAUCAGUCCUGGAAAUUUAGUGAGACCCUGACUCUACCACAAAAAUAAAUUAAAAAAAUAAAAAAAUUAGCUGAGCAGAGUGGCAUGCACCUGUAGUCCCAGCUACUCAGGAGGC